rnacentral:tRNA from 3 species
CCCCGGGUGGCGGAAUUGGUAGACGCACUGGACUUAAAAUCCAGCGGUUUUAAUAGACCGUGCCGGUUCAAGUCCGGCCCCGGGGACCA